rnacentral:rRNA from 1 species
CCAUCCCGGCUUACCAACCCGAUGCAAACUGCGAAUACCGGAGAAUGUUAUCACGGGAGACACACGGCGGGUGCUAACGUCCGUCGUGAAGAGGGAAACAACCCAGACCGCCAGCUAAGGUCCCAAAGUCAUGGUUAAGUGGGAAACGAUGUGGGAAGGCCCAGACAGCCAGGAUGUUGGCUUAGAAGCAGCCAUCAUUUAAAGAAAGCGUAAUAGCUCACUGGUCGAGUCGGCCUGCGCGGAAGAUGUAACGGGGCUAAACCAUGCACCGAAGCUGCGGCAGCGACGCUUAUGCGUUGUUGGGUAGGGGAGCGUUCUGUAAGCCUGCGAAGGUGGCCUGUGAGGGUUGCUGGAGGUAUCAGAAGUGCGAAUGCUGACAUAAGUAACGAUAAAGCGGGUGAAAAGCCCGCUCGCCGGAAGACCAAGGGUUCCUGUCCAACGUUAAUCGGGGCAGGGUGAGUCGACCCCUAAGGCGAGGCCGAAAGGCGUAGUCGAUGGGAAACGGGUUAAUAUUCCCGUACUUGGUGUUACUGCGAAGGGGGGACGGAGAAGGCUAUGUUGGCCGGGCGACGGUU